UUUUUAUUAGUUUUUCCAGAAUACAAGUAAAAUGAAUUAAAACAAAAUCAUAACCAAGAAAGUAAAUAAGAUAACAAUAUUAUUGUCAAGGGUAGAACAAAGUAGUAGAAGGCAGGAAUGAUAAUUAGCAGUCUAUACCGUUGCCAAGUGACCAGGAGAGAAUGGACCAGGCAGAUACACCGCUACCUAUAUAUAUUGAAAAACGACCCAGCAUGUCACUAACUAUUAACAGUAGGAAGAAACAUGAAAAGGUUUGUACUCACAGAGUGCUUGUUAAUAUUUGAUUAAGGGAGUGGCUCCUGGGGGGUCCCGUUGAAAUUGGUUGUUGUAGGUUUCCCCUAUUCAUCAGCUGUUGUUCCGCCUCACAGACAACAUCGGUCCCCUGCAACAGUUCCCUUUCAUACCAUGUAGUAUAUUGAAAGGUUUGAAUGAUUACAUUGAUACAAGGUAGCUAUUGCCGUCUGGAGAGCCUGGACCGGGUAUCUUCCCCUGAGAAACCCCACCUGGUGAGUGGUGCAUCUAAGAUCUCCCUGUCCUGCACUGAAAGUUUGGAUAAGUGGGCAUUUCGCAGGAAAGAGAGGCCUUCCUCUGGAUGGUCCUGAUUCUCCUCGUAAAAGUGUUUAAAAUACGUUUCAAGUUCUGCUACAAUGGCUUCAGUGUCCCGAGCCCAACCCUCCUCCAUUUUUAAUUUCUUUAUGAAGUGUUGCGCUGUGUUGUGUUUGGUUAUUCUGGCAAGGAGUCUCCCCGAUUUAUUCCCCCAUCUGUAAAACUUAUUUUUCAUAUGAGAAAUGAAUAUAUAUUUUUUUUAGUUAUAAUUUUUAGCUCUGGGGAGCUGUUGAGAAGCCAAUCUUAAGGGUUGAUUGAAAUCAUAGAACAGAUAACAAGGUUUUUCCAUUAUAAAGAGGGCCACUCCAGGGCUGCACGCCAUGAGGGAACCUUUGCAUCAGGUUGUAGCGAGCAGCCAGUUACCAGGGGCAGAAAAAGCUGCCUCUGGUAACUUUACA